rnacentral:rRNA from 1 species
AAAUGAAUUGACGGGGGCCCGCACAAGCGGAGGAACAUGUGGUUUAAUUCGAUGAUACGCGAGGAACCUUACCUGGGCUUAAAUGUAUAGUGCAUUACGAAGAAAUUUGUAUUUCCUACGGGACUCUAUGCAAGGUGCUGCAUGGUUGUCGUCAGCUCGUGCCGUGAGGUGUCGGGUUAAGUCCCAUAACGAGCGCAACCCUUAUCGUUAGUUGCCAGCGGGUAAAGCCGGGAACUCUAACGAAACUGCCGGUGUAAACCGCGAGGAAGGUGGGGAUGACGUCAAAUCAGCACGGCCCUUAUGUCCAGGGCUACACACGUGUUACAAUGGUCGGUACAGAGGGCAGCUACCCUGUGAAGGGGUGCGAAUCUCGAAAGCCGGUCUCAGUUCGGAUCGGAGUCUGCAACUCGACUCCGUGAAGCUGGAUUCGCUAGUAAUCGCGCAUCAGCCAUGGCGCGGUGAAUACGUUCCCGGGCCUUGUACACACCGCCCGU